rnacentral:rRNA from 1 species
UACAGAGGUGGCAAGCGUUGUUCGGAAUUACUGGGCGUAAAGCGUGCGCAGGCGGCUUUGCAAGACAGAUGUGAAAUCCCCGGGCUCAACCUGGGAACUGCAUUUGUGACUGCAAGGCUAGAGUACGGUAGAGGGGGAUGGAAUUCCGCGUGUAGCAGUGAAAUGCGUAGAUAUGCGGAGGAACACCGAUGGCGAAGGCAAUCCCCUGGGCCUGCACUGACGCUCAUGCACGAAAGCGUGGGGAGCAAACAGG